rnacentral:rRNA from 1 species
UGGGGAAUAUUGCGCAAUGGGGGGAACCCUGACGCAGCCAUGCCGCGUGAAUGAAGAAGGCCUUCGGGUUGUAAAGUUCUUUCGGUAUUGAGGAAGGUUGAUGUGUUAAUAGCACAUCAAAUUGACGUUAAAUACAGAAGAAGCACCGGCUAACUCCGUGCCAGCAGCCGCGGUAAUACGGAGGGUGCGAGCGUUAAUCGGAAUAACUGGGCGUAAAGGGCACGCAGGCGGUUAUUUAAGUGAGGUGUGAAAGCCCUGGGCUUAACCUAGGAAUUGCAUUUCAGACUGGGUAACUAGAGUACUUUAGGGAGGGGUAGAAUUCCGCGUGUAGCGGUGAAAUGCGUAGAGAUGUGGAGGAAUACCGAAGGCGAAGGCAGCCCCUUGGGAAUGUACUGACGCUCAUGUGCGAAAGCGUGGGGAGCAAACAGGAUUAGAUACCCUGGUAGUCCACGCUGUAAACGCUGUCGAUUUGGGGGUUGGGGUUUAACUCUGGCGCCCGUAGCUAACGUGAUAAAUCGACCGCCUGGGGAGUACGGCCGCAAGGUUA